GACGAACGCUGGCGGCGUGCUUAACACAUGCAAGUCGAACGGUGAACGAGGGAGCUUGCUCCCUCCGGAUCAGUGGCGAACGGGUGAGUAACACGUGAGCAAUCUGCCCCGAACUCUGGGAUAAGCGUUGGAAACGACGUCUAAUACCGGAUACGACGCGGGAGGGCAUCCUCUCCGCGUGGAAAGAACUUCGGUUCGGGAUGAGCUCGCGGCCUAUCAGCUUGUAGGUGAGGUAACGGCUCACCAAGGCGACGACGGGUAGCCGGCCUGAGAGGGUGACCGGCCACACUGGGACUGAGACACGGCCCAGACUCCUACGGGAGGCAGCAGUGGGGAAUAUUGCACAAUGGGCGCAAGCCUGAUGCAGCAACGCCGCGUGAGGGACGACGGCCUUCGGGUUGUAAACCUCUUUUAGCAGGGAAGAAGCGAAAGUGACGGUACCUGCAGAAAAAGCACCGGCUAACUACGUG
rnacentral:rRNA from 1 species